rnacentral:tRNA from 1 species
GCUGGAAUAGCUCAGUUGGUUAGAGCGUGUGGCUGUUAACCAAAAGGUCGGAGGUUCGACCCCUCCUUCUAGCG